rnacentral:rRNA from 1 species
AGAGUUUGAUCAUGGCUCAGGACGAACGCUGGCGGCACGCUUAACACAUGCAAGUCGAACGAGAGAAGAGGAGCUUGCUUUUCUGAUCUAGUGGCGGACGGGUGAGUAACACGUGAGCAAUCUGCCUUUCAGAGGGGGAUACCGAUUGGAAACGAUCGUUAAUACCGCAUAACAUAAUUGAACCGCAUGAUUUGAUUAUCAAAGAUUUAUCGCUGAAAGAUGAGCUCGCGUCUGAUUAGCUAGUUGGUAAGGUAACGGCUUACCAAGGCGACGAUCAGUAGCCGGACUGAGAGGUUGAUCGGCCACAUUGGGACUGAGACACGGCCCAGACUCCUACGGGAGGCAGCAGUGGGGAAUAUUGCACAAUGGAGGAAACUCUGAUGCAGCGAUGCCGCGUGAGGGAAGAAGGUUUUAGGAUUGUAAACCUCUGUCUUCAGGGACGAAAAAAGACGGUACCUGAGGAGGAAGCUCCGGCUAACUACGUGCCAGCAGCCGCGGUAAUAUGUAGGGAGCGAGCGUUGUCCGGAAUUACUGGGUGUAAAGGGAGCGUAGGCGGGAUCGCAAGUCAGAUGUGAAAACUAUGGGCUUAACCCAUAAACUGCAUUUGAAACUGUGGUUCUUGAGUGAAGUAGAGGUAAGCGGAAUUCCUAGUGUAGCGGUGAAAUGCGUAGAUAUUAGGAGGAACAUCAGUGGCGAAGGCGGCUUACUGGGCUUUAACUGACGCUGAGGCUCGAAAGCGUGGGGAGCAAACAGGAUUAGAUACCCUGGUAGUCCACGCCGUAAACGAUGAUUACUAGGUGUGGGGGGACUGACCCCUUCCGUGCCGCAGCAAACGCAAUAAGUAAUCCACCUGGGGAGUACGACCGCAAGGUUGAAACUCAAAGGAAUUGACGGGGGCCCGCACAAGCAGUGGAGUAUGUGGAUUAAUUCGAAGCAACGCGAAGAACCUUACCAGGUCUUGACAUCGUAUGCAUAGCUCAGAGAUGAGUGAAAUCUCUUCGGAGACAUAUAGACAGGUGGUGCAUGGUUGUCGUCAGCUCGUGUCGUGAGAUGUUGGGUUAAGUCCCGCAACGAGCGCAACCCUUACUGUUAGUUGCUACGCAAGAGCACUCUAGCAGGACUGCCGUUGACAAAACGGAGGAAGGUGGGGGUGACGUCAAAUCAUCAUGCCCCUUAUGACCUGGGCCUCACACGUACUACAAUGGCUGUCAACAGAGGGAAGCAAAGCCGCGAGGUGGAGCGAACCCCUAAAAGCAGUCUUAGUUCGGAUUGUAGGCUGCAACCCGCCUACAUGAAGUCGGAAUUGCUAGUAAUCGCAGAUCAGCAUGCUGCGGUGAAUACGUUCCCGGGCCUUGUACACACCGCCCGUCACGCCAUGGGAGUCGGUAACACCCGAAGCCUGUAGUCUAACCGCAAGGAGGACGCAGUCGAAGGUGGGAUUGAUGACUGGGGUGAAGUCGUAACAAGGUA